GUUGAAAACAGGAAUAUUAAUAAGGUAAAGAGUAUAGUUUAUGCUCAAAGUCAUUCAGAAAUAUUUACUGUUUUCAAACAGGUUUCCCAAACUCUACGCUUACCUUCCAUUGGUUGUCAAACCCACGGCCCUGCCCCAAAUUCACACCAUUGGAUGAGUCUAUGUUGCUUUGGCAUGGUGGUUGUGAUGCUCAAACAAAGAGUCACUCUUUGGCAGGGGAGAUCCACAACCCAAGUGUGGUGUGAAGAAGAUUUCCAGAUCUGUGCAACUGGAAUAAAAGGAGGGGUCGAGGGGGACCACCCGUAAGGAUCAGAUAAGAGCACGGUAAGCCUGGCCCGAAUCAGUUUGGCAUUGGAAAUUACAGUGAUGUUUGCACGGGGGGAAAACAUUCCCCUCCGCUCUCCGCAUAACCACACUAUUCUCCGUAAUAGAUUUCAGGAGGCUUUUUUGCCCGCGUCGGUGGUUGUUUAUUAUUGUUCCAAAUGAUAGAGUGCAGAGCUGGAGAAAGGAAGGGGGGCGAUAAGGAGGGGGGGCACUGAAAACAAUCAUCGUCAAACUCGAGUAUGCUGACUGUCACUCUAGAGAAAGGCUUUUGGAACGGCUGGCGAGAAGGAAAGAUUUAUGGUGUCUUAAAAGACAUGCUUUGAAAAGCAAUGGUCUCAGUUUAUGGAUUGAAAACACUUUUGUAGAACAGGCAACGCUCGUGCAGGACACGGUCUGCAAAUGAAAGUGUGACUACAGGUGAGGGUUCGCUGGUGACUCGCCUAUGCAAGCACUUAAACUGAUGCUGACAGACAGUAUGCCGAAGUGAGUUUGUCUGCACGCUAACAGCUGAGCCUUUGUAGCGUGGCAGAAUAGAGAGGAAAAGAAAAAAAAGAGACCAAAUUAGCUUAAAAGUUAAACAUGUUUGUCUUCUGGAUCACUCUAUUGUAAGAACAACUAGAAAAGCUGCAGAUUAGUGGAGUCAAGUGGGUUUCAUUCAGAACCGCAGCCUAUUGUGCAAACCAAAGGACAGUGAGUCUGGAGAUCACCAUAAAAGUAUUGUUCUCUCCAACCGAGCUGAAUCUGAUGACUCGCCCACCCACUGCAAGAGAUUUGUGAUUGUGCUUCUGGAGGGUUUUUAGUGUUACUUGUUUAAGUGCUGUCCACUUGACAUGUGAGAAUUAAUUGAAGAACGAAAUAUAACUGAUAAGAAAUAAAAUCUGAUAUAACUGGGAAAAUUAAUAGCAGGUAAAGCCUGAGGAUAUCCAUGGAAAAGUGAAAUAACUAAUUAUUUCAUAUCGUAACAGUAACUCAUACUGAAUUCAAUAACUGCCGGUCAUUUUGUCUCUGAAGGAUUGCGUGCAAUCCGAGAUGCUGACUUCAGGAACAACUGAAUUUUUUUUCAACUAGUAUCAUUCAUUGCCGCGAAAGUACAUGAGGUCUCUUUAGCUAGAUGGAGAAACACUAUCCAAAUUCUCCAUCCACAAACAGGCCUAGUGGUUGCAUUUCACCGUUGAUUUAAUAGAAAUAAAACAGGAUGGAUUUUGGGAUAUUUCAUUAAUCUUCCUUGCCUUUCACUUGAGAGGAAAUUAAACCAAAUGGAGUUCCAAUCUCAACUCCACCAUUGUGCUCAAGGCUACCAAUGUCCAUUCUCCCUUUGGCAAGGUACAUCUCAAUUAGAUACACAAAUUCCUUCCUGAUCCCAAUUUCACUGCAUUGGGGGAGGGUUUUGAACCCUGCAUAAAAACUGUGACGCUGUGUUACAAGUAUACUGAUACAAACAUCUUGGAAUAAGCCAGUUAACCCUUCCCAAUGCACCACCCCCUUAGUUACUGUAACUCAAACCAGCUUUGAAGAUCUUCCCAUAUGACUUGGAUAUUUACAUAAACAUCAUGAUUUUCAGUAAAAUAAUACUGAAAAAGUAGUAAAAAAAAUAUUUGGAUAUGAUUCUGAC
ensembl:lncRNA